CAGAUUUUGUUGCUGGCGAAUUUUGCAGAACGGAUGGUUUUUCAUUUUAAAUGAUGUUGCUGCCAGACAGGUCAGUACCUGGCCACCAGUGUGGCCGCGUGUUGGUUUUUGGUACGUCCGGUGUAUAUAUAGGGGUUGCUGCUGUCG